rnacentral:rRNA from 1 species
AGCGAACGCUGGCGGCAGGCUUAACACAUGCAAGUCGAGCGGGCAUCUUCGGAUGUCAGCGGCAGACGGGUGAGUAACACGUGGGAACGUACCCUUCGGUUCGGAACAACUCUGGGAAACUGGAGCUAAUACCGGAUACGCCCUUAUGGGGAAAGGUUUACUGCCGAAGGAUCGGCCCGCGUCUGAUUAGCUAGUUGGUGGGGUAACGGCCUACCAAGGCGACGAUCAGUAGCUGGUUUGAGAGGAUGAUCAGCCACACUGGGACUGAGACACGGCCCAGACUCCUACGGGAGGCAGCAGUGGGGAAUAUUGGACAAUGGGCGCAAGCCUGAUCCAGCCAUGCCGCGUGAGUGAUGAAGGCCUUAGGGUUGUAAAGCUCUUUUGUCCGGGACGAUAAUGACGGUACCGGAAGAAUAAGCCCCGGCUAACUUCGUG